CACGGCCGUCUGGAAGAGACUUUGUUACCUCCUUCACCUACCUGUGUUUUCUGAUGCUCUUAGUAUUCUUAGUUUUCCCAUGUCUCAAUUCACAAGAUGGAAAGAACUACGGACUGAAGAAGAGAAGAGUUCAAGUUAAUGAGCAGGGUGACCUCAAGGCCACAGCAUCCCCAGUUGUAAAACAAGGAGACUGGAACAGAUGAUCUCCGAGGUUCUUCUGGCUCUAAGCAUUCUAUAAAAAUGCCAGGCCUGAGUCAGCCCUUCUGGUCUCUAUGAAUUCUGUAUUCUGUGUUGCUCUAUUCUGAAGAACUGAGAUUACAGAUGACAGAGAGCUUUGCAAAACCAGAACUAAAGAUGACCUCCUUCCAUAAAUAUUUUAUCAGAAGCUAGAGAACUACAUAAAUGAAAAGAUAGUUAAAAGUGAAUAUUAAUGUCUGUCUUCUGAGAAUCUUCACUUUACUUUGUGAAGAGAAGUUUCCAUCAGAGAGGAAUCUGAACCACAGAGUGGCUGGAUGGCUUUCCCAAUGGUAAUGGCAAACCUCACUAUAGAAGCAAAAUCUACAGAGUCCUGGAAACAGUGAGUUUCCCCCCGAUUCCACAAUGUUUGACUGAACUGGAGAGAGGUAGUCAGUUGGAUCUGAUUAUGGAAGUAUCUGAAUGCUAAGUUAAGAAAUUCAAGCCUCAUCCUUCAUGAAUUCAACAAACAUUUAUUGAACUCCAGUGUGGUAGCACUGGAGAUACAGAGAAGAAUAAGAAAGACGCUGCCCUUAAAAAGUUAGCCUUCUAAAAAAGUAAGUAACUGCUAUUAUUUAAAUGUUCCUGCCAAAACUCAUGUUCAAAUGUAAUUGCCAGUCGGG
rnacentral:lncRNA from 1 species